UAACUACUCCCUCCGUCCGAAAAUACUUGUCUGUAUCUAGACUUAUUUUAGUUAUAGAUACAUCCAUUAUAUCCAUUUCUAGGACAAGUAUUUCCCGACGGAGGGAGUAUAUU
rfam:Hordeum vulgare subsp. vulgare, WGS project CAJW01000000 data, contig: morex_contig_47987